rnacentral:rRNA from 1 species
UACGUACGUGGCAAGCGUUGUCCGGAAUUAUUGGGCGUAAAGCGCGCGCAGGCGGUUCUUUAAGUCUGAUGUGAAAGCCCACGGCUCAACCGUGGAGGGUCAUUGGAAACUGGAGAACUUGAGUACAGAAGAGGAAAGCGGAAUUCCACGUGUAGCGGUGAAAUGCGUAGAGAUGUGGAGGAACACCAGUGGCGAAGGCGGCUUUCUGGUCUGUAACUGACGCUGAGGCGCGAAAGCGUGGGGAGCAAACAGG